rfam:Oryza sativa (indica cultivar-group) chromosome 3, whole genome shotgun sequence.
UAUGAGUUAUUUUAUCACUCAUAUUUAACCAUUCGUCUUAUUCAAAAAAUUUACGUAAUUAUAAUUUAUUUUGUUAUAAGUUGUUUUAUCACUCAUAGUACUUUAAGUGUGAUUUAUAUCUUAUACAUUUGCAUAAAAUUUUUGAAUAAGACGAAUGGUCAAACAUGUGAGAAAAAGUCAAUGGUGUCAUCUAUU